rnacentral:rRNA from 1 species
UACGUAGGUGGCAAGCGUUAUCCGGAAUUACUGGGCGUAAAGCGCACGCAGGCGGUCUUUUAAGUUUGACGUGAAAGCUCCCGGCUUAACUGGGAGAGGUCGUUGAAUACUGGAAGGCUUGAGGCAAUGAGAGGGGUGUAGAAUUCCCGGUGUAGUGGUGGAAUGCGUAGAUAUCGGGGGGAACACCAGUGGCGAAAGCGGCACCCUGGCAUUGGCCUGACGCUCAUGUGCGAAAGCGUGGGGAGCGAACGGG